AAUAACUUUACUAUCGAGAAAUCAAAUGACGGGGUAACGCCCUGAAGGGUUUCCACUGAUACUGCGACAUGCGUUAGUAGGAUGUGCAUCCAAACGCGUAUGAAGCUCGCUGAAGUCGGCAGAAGGGUACCGUAAGGAAAGACACGAUACGUAUCUACCACGCAAGUGCUCUAGAGGUAGGGUAUGUACCUGAUAUGUCGGGUGUCCUAAAA
rnacentral:ncRNA from 1 species